rnacentral:rRNA from 1 species
AUUGAACGCUGGCGGCAUGCCUUACACAUGCAAGUCGAACGGUAACGGGCCUUCGGGUGCCGACGAGUGGCGAACGGGUGAGUAAUACAUCGGAACGUGCCCGAUCGUGGGGGAUAACGAGGCGAAAGCUUUGCUAAUACCGCAUACGAUCUACGGAUGAAAGCAGGGGACCGCAAGGCCUUGCGCGGACGGAGCGGCCGAUGGCAGAUUAGGUAGUUGGUGGGAUAAAAGCUUACCAAGCCGACGAUCUGUAGCUGGUCUGAGAGGAUGAUCAGCCACACUGGGACUGAGACACGGCCCAGACUCCUACGGGAGGCAGCAGUGGGGAAUUUAGGACAAUGGGCGCAAGCCUGAUCCAGCCAUGCCGCGUGCAGGAUGAAGGCCUUCGGGUUGUAAACUGCUUUUGUACGGAACGAAAAGCCUUCUUUUAAUACAGGAGGGUCAUGACGGUACCGUAAGAAUAAGCACCGGCUAACUACGUG